rnacentral:rRNA from 1 species
CCCUUAGAUGUUCUGGGCCGCACGCGUGCUACACUGAGUGGAUCAGCGGGUCAGGUUACGCGAAAGUGUUUCCUAAUCUUUAAAUCCGCUCGUGAUGGGGAUUGACGGUUGCAAUUUUCCGUCAUGAACGAGGAAUACCUUGUAAGCGCGGGUCAUCAUCCCGCGCUGAAUACGUCCCUGCCCUUUGUACACACCGCCCGUCGCUCCUACCGAUUGAGUGGUCCGGUGAGGCUUUGGGAUCUGAGCGGAAAGAGCGUUUCGCUGUUUCUGCCCGGAAAACUCAGUCGAACCUUAUCAUUUAGAGGAAGGAGAAGUCGUAACA